GGAGGGGUACCCAAGUGGUCAACGGGGGCAGACUGUAAAUCUGCUGGCUUAGCCUUCGUAGGUUCGAAUCCUACCCCCUCCACCA
rnacentral:tRNA from 1 species